CAGCCGCCGCGGUAAUACGUAGGGUGCAAGCGUUAAUCGGAAUUACUGGGCGUAAAGCGUGCGCAGGCGGUUUUGUAAGACAGAGGUGAAAUCCCCGGGCUCAACCUGGGAACUGCCUUUGUGACUGCAAGGCUAGAGUACGGCAGAGGGGGAUGGAAUUCCGCGUGUAGCAGUGAAAUACGUAGAUAUGCGGAGGAACACCGAUGGCGAAGGCAAUCCCCUGGGCCUGUACUGACGCUCAUGCACGAAAGCGUGGGGAGCAAACAGGAUUAGAUACCCGCGUAGUCCCUGUCUCUUAUAU
rnacentral:rRNA from 1 species